rnacentral:rRNA from 1 species
GACGAAGGGGGCUAGCGUUGUUCGGAAUUACUGGGCGUAAAGCGCGUGUAGGCGGUUGCCAUAGUCAGGUGUGAAAGCCUUGAGCUUAACUCAGGAAAUGCACUUGAUACUGGGCGACUAGAGGACCGGAGAGGAUAGUGGAAUUCCCAGUGUAGUGGUGAAAUACGUAGAGAUUGGGAAGAACACCAGUGGCGAAGGCGGCUAUCUGGACGGUUACUGACGCUAAGACGCGAAAGCGUGGGGAGCAAACAGG